rnacentral:pre_miRNA from 1 species
CACUGGCUGUGGGAGCUUCCUUCGGUUCAAUAGUGGCUGAUAUGAGGUUGCACUGCUGCCGACUCAAACUUCCGGCUUCCCUCUCUUAGAAUGGCAGGGAAUCCGAAUGUCUGAUGCGGGAGCUGAGCGGUCUUCAACUCAGCUUCUCUUGGACUGAAGGGAGCUCCCAUGUCUUUGUGG